rnacentral:rRNA from 1 species
UACAGAGGUCCCAAGCGUUGUUCGGAUUCACUGGGCGUAAAGGGUGUGUAGGUGGCGGGGCAAGUUGCGUGUUAAAUCUCAAGGCUUAACCUUGAAACCGCUCGCAAUACUGCUCUGCUCGAGGACUGUAGAGGAGAAUGGAAUUCACGGUGUAGCAGUGAAAUGCGUAGAUAUCGUGAGGAAGACCAGUGGCGAAGGCGAUUCUCUGGGCAGUUCCUGACACUGAGACACGAAGGCCAGGGGAGCAAACGGG